GGUUGAGUGUCCGAGUGGUCGAAGGAGCACGCCUGGAAAGUGUGUAUACGGCAACGUAUCGAGGGUUCGAAUCCCUCCUCAACCGCCA
rnacentral:tRNA from 15 species